AAUUAAAGAGAAAAGAGAAAAAAAAUGCAACAAGCCAACGGAAAAGCUAAAUCUAAAAACCGACCCCGAUAACAGUUAUCAGCCGCCCUUGGCCAGUGGACCAACACCUCCGAAGUCAUUUGUCAGCAGGAGAUCCUAACACCCACGAUCCUGCCUGAGAUAUGGGUGGCCCUGUGGGAACCCAGGGUCCUGGCGAUCACUUUCACGCAGGGCGCUCCGAUGUUCUCCAGUCUGAUCCUUGGGCCCAAUACUACUUAUGUCUAUACGGAGAACGCCACGUCCUACGUAUGGGAAGUCACUCUCCAGUACCAAGACACAGGCGACUUCGAGCUCAUCGGCAACGCCUCGAAUCUCCUGG